rnacentral:misc_RNA from 1 species
AAGUCGUAACAAGGUAUCCGUAGGUGAACCUGCGGAUGGAUCAUUAAUUAUGUAAUCUAUUUUGUUAUAGGUUGAUUAAUUGUGAAUUGUACUUGUCGAUACUAAUGAAGGUUGGUGGAGACAAUAACUUUUUUGUUAUUAUAAACUGAUUAAAUUUUGUUUAAAUUUGAAACAACUUUUAGCAACGGAUCUCUAGGCUCUC